UAUAUAUAGAUAAAAUAUACCUAGAGACUUGAUGAAAUUGACAUUUGUGUUGUUAGUUAAAUGAUUGACAGAAAAGAGACAUCAACUGUGGAUUUGAAAUUGACAAUUUGUUUAGGAACAUUGAAUUAAAUAGAACAAUAGGAUAACCGAUAUUUGUGAAUCGUUUGUAACAAAAUAACCCGGUUAUACAAAUUGUUGAAUAAUUUAAGGAAUUC
rnacentral:lncRNA from 1 species